rnacentral:rRNA from 1 species
UACGUAGGUGGCAAGCGUUGUCCGGAAUUAUUGGGCGUAAAGCGCGCGCAGGCGGUCCUUUAAGUCUGAUGUGAAAGCCCACGGCUCAACCGUGGAGGGUCAUUGGAAACUGGGGGACUUGAGUACAGAAGAGAAGAGUGGAAUUCCACGUGUAGCGGUGAAAUGCGUAGAGAUGUGGAGGAACACCAGUGGCGAAGGCGACUCUUGGUCUGUAACGUGACGCUGAGGCGCGAAGCGUGGGAGCAAACAGGA